rnacentral:rRNA from 1 species
CCUACGGGAGGCAGCAGUGGGGAAUAUUGGACAAUGGGCGCAAGCCUGACCCAGCAACGCCGCGUGAAGGAAGAAGGCUUUCGGGUUGUAAACUUCUUUUCUCAGGGACGAAGCAAGUGACGGUACCUGAGGAAUAAGCCACGGCUAACUACGUGCCAGCAACCGCGGUAAUACGUAGGUGGCAAGCGUUAUCCGGAUUUACUGGGUGUAAAGGGCGUGUAGGCGGGAAAGCAAGUCAGAUGUGAAAACCAUGGGCUCAACCUGUGGACUGCAUCUGAAACUGUUUUUCUUGAGUACUGGAGAGGCAGAUGGAAUUCCUAGUGUAGCGGUGAAAUGCGUAGAGAUUAGGAGGAACACCAGUGGCGAAGGCGGUCUGCUGGACAGCAACUGACGCUGAGGUGUGAAAGCGUGGGGAGCAAACAGGAUUAGAUACCCGGGUAGUC